rnacentral:rRNA from 1 species
UACGUAGGGGGCAAGCGUUGUCCGGAAUCAUUGGGCGUAAAGCGCGUGUAGGCGGCUCGAUAAGUCUGCUGUGAAAGUUCAGGGCUCAACCCUGAAAUGCCGGUGGAAACUGUCGAGCUAGAGUCCGGAAGAGGCGAGUGGAAUUCCUGGUGUAGCGGUGAAAUGCGCAGAUAUCAGGAGGAACACCAAUUGCGAAGGCAGCUCGCUGGGACGUUACUGACGCUGAGACGCGAAAGCGUGGGGAGCAAACAGG